UGCGGAUGUGGCGGAAUUGGCAGACGCGCUAGACUUAGGAUCUAGUGGGAUACCGUGCAGGUUCAAGUCCUGUCAUCCGCAG
rnacentral:tRNA from 1 species